rnacentral:lncRNA from 1 species
ACCUAUGCCUUUGCCAUGGAAAGAAAGUGAGAUGUGCCGCUCAGCAUGGAGAUGGAUGGGACCUCCCGGUGGCCAGCAGGGUAAUCACCUUGCCAUGUCCGUGGUAACCGUACUGGGCAAAGAAGAAAGUAUGGGAAAGGGAGUGAGGGGAGCAAACCAGUUUCCAACGCUCUCUCAUUCCUAAACUUUUGAUCAAGAGGAGCUGGGAAGGUAGAGUUAACUUUUAACUA